rnacentral:lncRNA from 1 species
CCUCGCCGCAGAUGCCAGCGCCCCGGAGACGCCCCCGGGCCUGAACCGAGUGGGGCCCAAGGGAAGCUGAGUGUCCGAUGGGCUCGUGUAUUAUUAACAGAAAGAAACGCACAAAUCAUUAACGGACAGCUAUUUGAUGUGAAAUCAUCACGAGGAUCACGACAUAGAAAAUUUUUACCACAUGUAUGGAUGAAACACUUUGAUACAUGGAUGAAGCCCUUUGACACACUUUCCAGGUAUUAUCAGGCAGAGAUUCUGAAGUCGAGUUUCCCACAAGUAGGGGAAUCACAGAGGUCAGCACGUCAUGAAGGCAAUGGACAAGACUUUGCCCUGGAGAAAGCACCUUCAAGAUCAUGGUACUUCUGCUG